UAGAGGAAGUAAAAGUCGUAACAAGGUUUCCGUAGGUGAACCUGCGGAAGGAUCAUUACUGAAGAACUAUAUUCUUCAUACACAACCGUGAACUGUCGUCUUCGGACGCUACUACAAACACUAAUGUCGUCAAUGAAUGUAGUUGUUUUCUUAACAAAAUACAACUUUCAACAACGGAUCUCUUGGCUCUCGCAUCGAUGAAGAACGCAGCGAAAUGCGAUAUGUAAUGUGAAUUGCAGAAUUUUUGUGAACCAUCGAAUCUUUGAACGCACCUUGCGCUCUCUGGUAUUCCGGAGAGCAUGCCUGUUUGAGCGCCUUAAUACAGUUGUGCAAUUGCAUUCGUGUAGUUGCGCAGUACUGGGCAUUGCCGUGUGAACGGCUCGCCCUGAAUGCAUUAGCAUUUCUGAACUUGAAACCGACGUGAUAAGUAUCUUCGUUGGCGCCUUGUAAAGAGAUGCUUCAAAUCGUCCUUGGACAAAACCUAAUGCUAGGCAUCA
rnacentral:rRNA from 1 species